CUGCCGCGCCCCACUUCCCGCCUUCGCCCCGGGACCCGGGCCCGCGCCCCGGCAGGCCCUGCGCGCCGUGUCUCUGGAACGGGGACAGAAUGGGCAGAGAAGCAGAGUCGUGCGCAGUGGACCUGGGAGUCAUGGCCAAACAACGGAAGAAACCCCCUCGGGAGCAAUGGAUCUGUCCAGAAGCUGUUCCUUUGGUGGAAGGGGAAUUGAGCCAGAUAAACCUCUCAGAUCCUUCCUACUCUGAGAUUCGGCGAACCUGUCGCCUUCAGGGCCUAAGUACUGAGGAGAGGCGGUCAGGAGCCUGACACUUGGCGUCACCCGUCGGUAAAAACAACCCGCUGGGCUCCAAGGACAUGAAUCCUUAAAAUGAACAUCUGUGAAUCGAAGUGUGUCGUUUAAAAGACCCGCCUCCACCGAUGACAGCCCUCGGGAGCCGGUGACCACAGUGCAGGGGAAGAGCUCUGGAGUGGAAGCUUCGAGGUCCGUAUCCCAGUGUCAGAAGUGAAGGGCUUUGCCGAUGGUCUGGGCAGCUUAUUCAUCAGGAAGGAGUGGACGCUGAACCUCCGAGGGGUCUCGUACUAGCGUUCCAGGAUUCUUGGAAUCUGAAUUAUUAAGAUCCUGAAAGUCAGGGGUGUAGAAACGUCAGGAGAUGCCUCCCAUCAGGACAGCCCUGCUUUGUGCGUGUUCUCUCGAGCGGCACGUCCUCCCGGCCAACUCCCGCUCGUCCUGUUCGAAGGCUCCCCUUCCCAGCGUGUCCGUCGCGGGCUUAAGGACGGAGGAAGACGGGCCUGCCGCUAAAUAGCUCAGCAACUCACUCUGCGGGGAGAGAAGGCUCCUGAUAGCUUUGGCCAGUGCCUGUGGUGUAAGCACCCCCGCGGUGGCGGCGAGCAAGUCGCCCAAGGAGCAUCCCUGGGCCCCGAACGGGAGGAGAGACCGGCCGUUCCGCCGCCUGCGCGCUGGGAGGACCUGCUCCGGCGACCCCUGCAGGCGACUCAGCCCCUCCUGAGAAGGAUCCGCCAGGCUCGGUUCACCCUCCUCGCCUCCCACCCGCCGAAGAGGCCUCCAGAAUUCAGCUGCAUCCUCUCUGCACAGAGCGGGGCAGCCCCAUCUCCUCCUACAUUUGAGGCCCGCACAGUCCAACAGUGAUCGGUGAGAAAACUUCAGCUCAAAGAGACCCGACUGCUUCCCCACUCCGGGGGCCUGUGGAUUCACCUGGUUGGUAGGCUGGUUGCUCCUGCCUCCCUGGCCCCCGGGGAUAACCAGGGGGGCUCAGUCUCAGGCAGGCACGGCCCAACCGUGCCUCCUUCCUGGUCAGGACGCCCUCCCUAAGAAGCAGACAAAGGACAGGCGACGGCAGUGUUCUGAGGCUUGGGCCUUUUGGGCUGGCCGGGCAGGCCCCUCACCACCCCGAAUGGAGAGCUAAUCCGCAGGUGACCAUUUCUCCGGGGAGAGCACGGGACGCUGGGUCUGGAGGGGAGCUUGGCGGUCAUGCCCGGGGUACCCCAUCACCAAGACCAACUGUCUUCACAAGUAAGCCAGGUACUUGAUGUGCUUGGCAAAAAAUUAAAAUGAAAAUGAAGAGUGAGAGGGGAGCUCCCUUGUGGUGUAGUGGGUCAAGGAUCCGGCAUUGUCACUGCUGUGGUUCCGGUUACUGCUACGGUGCGGGUGUCAUCCCUGGCCCCAGAACGUGUGCAUGCAGCAGGAGCGGCGAAAAAGAAGAAGGAGGAGAAGAAGAAGAAAGAAAAAAAAGAAGAGUGAGCGAAUGAACGUCCGUUGAGUGCCCGUGGUGCCCUAGAUAUAUCUCAUAACGUGGUGUCAUCCGGGGAGUUCCUGAGCGGAAACGAAUCCAACUAGGAACCACGACGCUGUGGGCUUGAUCCCC